rnacentral:rRNA from 1 species
GGACUACCGGGGUAUCUAAUCCUGUUUGCUCCCCACGCUUUCGUGCCUCAGUGUCAAUAAUCGUGAAGUAAGCUGCCUUCGCAAUUGGUGUUCUAUGUCAUAUCUAAGCAUUUCACCGCUACAUGACAUAUUCCGCUUACCUACGCGAUAUUCAAGAUAUAUAGUAUCAACGGCAGUUCCCAAGUUAAGCUCGGGGAUUUCACCACUGACUUACAUACCCACCUACGCACCCUUUAAACCCAGUGAAUCCGGAUAACGCUUGCACCCUCCGUAUUACCGCGGCUGCUGGCAC